CGCCGCGUGAGCGAUGAAGCCCUUCGGGGUGUAAAGCUCUUUCGACGGGAACGAUAAUGACGGUACCCGGAGAAGAAGCUGCGGCUAACUACGUGC
rnacentral:rRNA from 1 species